UAGAAAUUCAGUCAAAUAUAAAUAGGCACUAUAUGCUAGACUACAUGAUGCCAUUGUCAUUGCCUUAUUGCACACAUGGCUCUGGCUGCAUGCAUACUACUGUGCCCAAGGCCAAGAGUAGCUCUCGUUGAGGCAGUCCUCUUCUGGUGUCAUCGAUCUACCACCAAUACAAAUCUCUUUUGCUGAAGACAAUCUCACCAUAAUCUUCAGGACUUCUAUUAAAACUGGGCAUUCAUGUUAGCAGAUAGAGAGGGAAACGUGAUGUCGUAGUAUAUAUGAAGAGAAGUAUAACUGACAAUAUACAAUAAUGAGCUAAUUACUACGAUGAGUUAUUUCCAGCGCUGCAUCCCCUCCUGAACAUAGGAAUUUUGUUAAUUCAGUACGUAUGGAAGGCAAGAGCGUCAGACAUAAAAACUGACAAUACAUAUGCCUGUCGCUAAACUUAGGUACUAAUAAGAUGAGAUGGAUCAUUGAACUUCUAAACAAAUUAAUGGUAGGUGAUGCAAGAAGGCACCUGUCAAUGGCAAUGCACCAUUUAAUGUUGAUAAAAUCUGGAACAGUUAACAGAGUCUGCAAUGCUGACUUCCCUUGUUGACUCUGGUGCAACUCCUGCAGUGAUAACCAGAAAUCUUAAUAAAAUUAAAUUGAAAAGUGGACAGAACACACAUUAUGAGUGAACCAUGAACAAUACUUGAUGCUAGAAAAUCUUGUAUUGAUGUGCUCAAGGUAAUUAUAUGCUAUGUCUUUCACCGAAGAAUGAAGUAUUCGCUAGCUAGUUGUGCAUUGUAAGCUUCUUCUUUAAAAGAAUUACUCAAUGCAAACUUCUUACUGAAAUGGAUACUGCAGAACUUGUGCUACUUGUGCUGCAUCAUCAAUCAAUUCAUACCUAUCAUAAAAAAAAUGUAUCACAGCCUUUGGCAUGAGCAGUAGCACAUCAUUCUCACCUGGAGCAGUUACCUGAAUAAAAAUGAAUCAAAACUGC
rnacentral:lncRNA from 1 species